GAUGAACGCUGGCGGCGUGCCUAAUACAUGCAAGUCGAGCGAAUAGACGAGGAGCUUGCUCCUCCGACGUUCUCGGCGGACGGGUGAGUAACACGUGGCUAACCUACCUAUAAGACUGGGAGAGCUUCGAGAAACCGGUGCUCAUACCGGAUAAUAUCUUGAACCACAUGGUUCAGUAGUGAAAGACGGUUUUGCUGUAACUUAUAGAUGGGUCCGCGCCGCAUUAGCUAGUUGGUAAGGUAACGGCUUACCAAGGCAACGAUGCGAACCCGACCUGAGAGGCUGGUCGGCCACCCGGGAAGUGAGACACAGCCCAGACUCCUACGGUAGGCAGCAGUAGAGAAUCUUCCGCGAUGCGCGAGAGCCUGACGGAGCAACACCGCGUGAGGGAUGAACGUGUUAGGCCCGGAAAACGCUGUUGUUAGUGAAGAACAAAUGCGUAAGUGACGAUGCACAUACUGACGGUACCUAAUCAGAAAGCCCCGGCUAACUCCGUG
rnacentral:rRNA from 1 species